rnacentral:rRNA from 1 species
UACAGAGGUCCCAAGCGUUGUUCGGAUUCACUGGGCGUAAAGGGUGCGUAGGCGGUCGGGUAAGUCUGACGUGAAAUCUCCAAGCUCAACUUGGAAAUGGCGUCGGAUACUAUUCGGCUUGAGGAAUGGAGGGGAGACUGGAAUUCUCGGUGUAGCAGUGAAAUGCGUAGAUAUCGAGAGGAACACCAGUGGCGAAGGCGAGUCUCUGGGCAUUAACUGACGCUGAGGAGCGAAAGCAUGGGGAGCGAACAGG